AUUGAACGCUGGCGGCAGGCCUAACACAUGCAAGUCGCACGAGUGGCGGACGGGUGCGUCAUGUCUGGGACACUGCCUGAUGGAGGGGGAUAACUACUGGAAACGGUAGCUAAUACCGCAUACCAUCAGAUGUUCCCAGAUGGGAUUCGCUUGUUGGUGGGGUAACGGCUCACCAAGGCGACGAUCCCUAGCUGGUCUGAGCGGAUGACCAGACACAAGGGAACGGAGACACGGGCCAGACUCCUACGGGAGGCAGCAGUGGGGAAUAUGGCACAAGGGGCGCAAGCCGGAUGCAGCCAUGCCGCGUGUAUGAAGAAGGCCUUCGGGUGGUAAAGUACUUUCAGCGGGGAGGCGUUACCCGCAGAAGAAGCACCGGCUAACUCCGUGCCAGCAGCCGCGGUAAUUC
rnacentral:rRNA from 1 species